UACGCUGAAUCAACCAACAGGCACCGCCCCGUGGCCAGGAAGGGCGGAGCUUAGCAACUUUCACUGAGACUGCUACCAACAGACGUUGGACGACGGCUACAGAUUAAGGAUAUGUGUUCCAAAAGGGUAUUUUAACCCUUUGGUAGGGUUAAAGUACGUUUUAAUAACUCUGGCACCCUAAAAGCUGGCAAAAUGAUGCGCUUCCUGCUGCUGUUUAGCCGCCAGGGCAAGUUGAGAUUGCAGAAAUGGUACACGCCCAUGUCUGAUCGGGAGAAGAAAAAAAUCAUCAGGGACAUGACCACAGCCGUGUUGGCACGGCAACCACGCACCUGUAACUUCCUGCAGUGGAAAGACCUGAAGAUUAUUUACAAGAGAUAUGCAAGCUUGUAUUUCUGCUUGGCGAUAGAGAACCAAGAGAAUGAGCUGCUAGCUUUGGAGGUUAUUCAUCGCUAUGUGGAGCUGCUGGACAGAUAUUUUGGCAAUGUGUGUGAGCUGGACAUAAUCUUUAACUUUGAGAAGGCCUAUUUUAUCCUGGACGAGUUCCUCCUGGGAGGGGAAAUACAAGAAACCUCCAAACAGAUUGUGAACCGCUCCAUUGAAGCCUCAGACAUGCUACAAGAGCGUUAGUUGCAAGCGAGAGACAGGUUUUGCCUGGAAGUAGGGGGCCUACUGUAAUUUUAGUGACACUUCCUGCUCCCCAUUAAGGCUAUGGCGGCUGUGUGUGGUCAAGUCGUUUCCUGGGAUGGCAACAGUGAUUGGUAUGAGGUGGAGCUGUUUGGAUGACCUUGAAUAUGGACAGACAGACAAUGGAGGAAUAUAUGAGCAAACCGGCAUUUUGAUGCAGGAAAAAGGGGACGUGAAGGUACUCAGGAGAAUGCAGAAGCCAAAUAUACUGUGUAUGAGUCAAAGACUCUAUGGGAACUAGAGUAACUUCUUCAAAGCAUUUUUAUUGGAAGAAACUGGAAUAUCUGCCGUACAAGUAACUAUAUUUCUUUCUCUAGCACUGUUUUGGAAGUCGAAGGGAUGUUCUUUUUAACUGCAAACACAAGAGUCGAGGUAAAAAUAUUGUCGUGAAGAAAUUAUUUUAGAGAUUUGCUGAAUGUUAUUGCUAUUAAUAAUAUAUUGUAAUUGAUAAUUUAUGAUUUGUGUCUAUUUAAAGUAAGCCAUUCCUGAAUUAAAUUGAUAUAUUUGUUCUGUAUUAAUCAGAUUUAUUGGUGUUUAUUCUUUGUGCUAGCGUGGGUGUGCAAAACA